GCCAAGGUAGUAUAGGUAGUGCGCCUGUUUUUCGUGCGGGUGGAGGCUUGGUGGCCUCUUGGUU
rnacentral:tRNA from 2 species